rnacentral:rRNA from 1 species
AUUGAACGCUGGCGGCAUGCUUUACACAUGCAAGUCGAACGGCAGCACGGGUGCUUGCACCUGGUGGCGAGUGGCGAACGGGUGAGUAAUGCAUCGGAACGUGCCCAUGAGUGGGGGAGUAGCCCGGCGAAAGCCGGAUUAAUACCGCAUACGCCCUUACGGGGGAAAGGACGGGGGAGUCUUCGGACCGUCGCGCUAUUGGAGCGGCCGAUGUCGGAUUAGCUAGUAGGUGAGGUAAAGGACUCACCUAGGCGACGAUCCGUAGCUGGUCUGAGAGGAUGAUCAGCCACACUGGGACUGAGACACGGCCCAGACUCCUA